GAGGCCUAGUGGUCAGAGCGUCCGCCUCUGAUGCGGGAGGUCGUGGGUUCGAUCCCCGGUCGAGUCA